CGCACAUUGCGCCCUCUGGUAUUCCGGGGGGCAUGCCUGUUCGAGCGUCAUUACAACCCUCAAGCUCUGCUUGGUAUUGGGUGUCAUCAUUCUGGUGCGCCUUAAAACUAGUGGCGGUGCCAUUUGGCUUCUAGUAAAGUAAGACUUCUUGCUAUGGAGUAUAGAUGUGUGCUUGCCAUCAACCCUCACUUCAAAGGUUGACCUCGGAUCAGGUAGGGAUACCCGCUGAACUUAA
rnacentral:misc_RNA from 1 species